UCCUACGGGAGGCAGCAGUAGGGAAUCUUCCGCAGUGGACGAAAGUCUGACGGAGCAACGCCGCGUGAGUGAUGAAGGCUUUCGGGUCGUAAAACUCUGUUGUUAGGGAAGAACAAGUGCUAGUUGAAUAAGCUGGCACCUUGACGGUACCUAACCAGAAAGCCACGGCUAACUACGUGCCAGCAGCCGCGGUAAUACGUAGGUGGCAAGCGUUAUCCGGAAUUAUUGGGCGUAAAGCGCGCGCAGGUGGUUUCUUAAGUCUGAUGUGAAAGCCCACGGCUCAACCGUGGAGGGUCAUUGGAAACUGGGAGACUUGAGUGCAGAAGAGGAAAGUGGAAUUCCAUGUGUAGCGGUGAAAUGCGUAGAUAUCAGGAAGAACACCGGUAGCGAAGGCGGCUCUCUGGCCCGCAACUGACGCUGAGGCGCGAAAGCGUGGGGAGCAAACAGGAUUAGAUACCCUGGUAGUCCACGCUGUAAACGUUGGGUACUAGGUGUUGGUCUACGUUUAGUGGAGCAGUGCCGAAGCUAACGCAUUAAGUACCCCGCCUGGGGAGUACGAUCGCAAGGUUGAAACUCAAAGGAAUU
rnacentral:rRNA from 1 species